rnacentral:rRNA from 1 species
AUGGCGUCGCAUCUGACGGACAUCCCCGACCACCUCCUGGCCGAGAUUUUCCUCCGGCUGCCCGACCCGACUGACCUCGCCCGCGCCUCCGCCGCCUGCGUGACCUUCCGCCAACUCGCCACCGACGGAUCCUUCCUCCGCAGAUUCCGCCGCCUCCACGCACCACCAAUCCUCGGAUUCCUCCGGGCCGGCGGCAUGUUCCGUCCCACCAUGCCGCCUCACCCCUCCGCGCCCGCCGCCCACGCGCUCGCCCUCGCCGCCGACUUCUCCUUCUCCUUCAUCCCCUCCCACUGCCACUGGACCGUGCAGGACAUCCGUGACGGCCGCGUACUCCUCGACCGCGACCUCCGGCGAGGAAAGCCGUCCCCGGUUUUCAAAGAUCUCGUGGUGUGCGACCCCUUGCACCGGCGGUAUGUCCUGCUCCCUCCGGUACCUCACGACAUAGGCGCCUCGCUUGAGCACCCGUUCCCCAUGGUACGCAAGGUCGAGUGCAAGCCUUUCCUCGUUCCCCUCGGCGAGGAGGAGCAGCGGCUGGAGAGACAGCAUAGAGUCAUCGUGAUGGCACAUUGCAAAACUAGUCUGGCUGCCUUCGUCUUCUCUUCAAGCACUGGACAAUGGCAAGCCGUUGCAUCCAAGGGCUGGAGUGAUUUGGCCCUUAGCGAGUGCGACAUGGCCCAGAUGUCAUGGGUCCACCCUUUUAUUCUCAGGCGCCAUUAUGCUUAUGGAUGCUUCUAUUGGGACUGGGUGGAAUUCGGGAGCGACAAGUUGCUCUUGCUUGACACCAAGAAUAUGGAGUUCUCCAUUGCUGACCUCCCGCCCGGAGAAUGGAACAAGAGAGGAUUAGCAAUUGUGGAGGCAGGGGAAAGCAGGCUUGGGAUGUUUGGUUUCCGUGGUGAAACUGCAUCCGAUCUAAGCUAUACCGUUGCAUGGAACAAAGGCAAGAGUCCCAGGCAGUGGCAGGUGGAGAAGACAAUCUCACUAGAUUCUGGAUACAGAUAUUAUAUCACAGAUGCAACACAGAGGUACUUGUUCUUGACAAAGACAAGUGCCUCAUCUCUAGAGAAUCCACUUGAUAAUGAACUUGUUGGAUAUUUCUCAAUCGAUGUCAAGACGUUGAAGCUUCAGAGGGUUUAUCAUAAACAACACUAUUUUAUGAAUGAGGCAUAUUCAUAUAUCAACUUCCCACCAUCAUUGUUGUCUUCAAGGAGAAUAUGA